GUUGAUGUGAGUCUGCCAGGCAUGGUGGUACACGCCUGUAAUCCCAGCUACUCAGGAGGCUGAGGCAGGAGGAUCUCUUGAGCCCAGGAGUUCAAGGCUGCAAUGAGCUAUGAUCACGCCACUGCACUCCAGCCUGGGUGACAGAGUGAGAGUCAAAACAAAACAAAAUAAAACAAACAAAAAGCCUGGUUAAGGUGAAUCUAACUGGGCUUUGGCUUACCUUCUCUUUUUUGGGAGGUAGAAGGUUUUUGGAAGGUAGAAGGAUGUAUUGCAAUGAUUCCCCAGCUUCAUUCACUAGCACACCACCUUCAUGAUUUUUGACGUGUCCACAUAUCAGUUGUACUAUUAUUUUCUUAAUUAGACUUUCUUAUUUUCUUAUCUUCACCUAUGAUAUUUUUUAAUGGAACCAUGGCUUUGCAAUACAUAUGAUGUUUUUUCAAAUAUACAUUAAAAUGCAAAACUAUUAAAAUAAUUUUUUUUUUACCACCUAAGAUUAUUUUAUGUGUACUACCUUAGGAAACAAUGUCAUGUAGGCUUUGGAAUCAGGCAGGCUUGUUCAGGUAAUACCUGUAUGUCCUUGGGCAAGCCACACUCUCUAACCUCCAAUAUUGUCAUAAUAAGUGUGUCUUCCUUAGGAUUUUGGUGAGGGCUAGAUGGGUCAGUUUGUGUGUGUGUGUCUGUGUGUGUGUUGCGUGUCUGUGUGUGUAGAUGUGGGUCUCACUGUGUUGCUCAGGCUGGUCUCAAACUUCUGGGCUCAAAUGAUCCUCCUGCCUCGGCCUUCCAAGUGCUGGAAUCACAGACGUAAGCCACUGCACCCAGCCCUAGAUGGGAUGAUUUAAACACUGUGUUUCAACUGCCUUGCACGUGGGUAACACCUAGUGGAGAAAUCAAGACCCCAACAGAGGGCUGACCAGGUUACUCAGCAAUGCUGUGGCAGAAACACACAAAAGAGUCCGUGGCUUGUGAUUCACAGGCCAAGACGCUGCCUUGGCGCAGCACUCCCCGUGUUGACGUGGAAGGUGGUGAUGGCAGUGAGCAAAAAAGUGAUCCAUGCACAGAUGCAUUUGUGAACGCCGGAUGAAACAAAGUUAAAAUAGGACCCAGCGGAUGAAGUGGACUGAAACACUGAAUCUGAAACAUUGAUGAUCACUACAGCAAAGGGAAGAGCUCGGUAAAUUGUGCAUAUCGUUCUUAGAUCUUCCACCCAAAAGUAACACUUCCACUUACAUGUAUUGGCCACGGUAAGUCAUGUGGUUGUGCCUAACUUCAAAGAAUGUAAGGACAUACAAUCCUACCAUGUACUGGAAGGAAAUCCAGAAGAUUCCUUUUUUUUUUUUUUUUUUUUUGAGAUGGAGCCUUGCUCUGUCUCCAGGGUGGAGUGCAGUGGUGCGACCUCGGCUUACUGCAACCUCCGCCUCCGGGGUUCAAGUGAUUCCCCUGCCUCAGCCUCCCGACUAGCUGGGAUUACAGGCACACACCGCCACGUCUGGCUAAUUUUUUUUUGUAUUUUAGUAGACACAGGAUUUCACCAUGUUGGCCAGGAUGGUCUCUAUCUCCUGACCUUGUGAUCCACCUGCCUCGGCCUCCCAAAGUGCUGGGAUUACAGGUGUGAGCCACCACGCCUGGCCAGAAAGGCUCUUAAAGAGGCCUAAUGACUAUCACAGUCCCAGAACUGCUUCCCUCUCCCGCUAGAAGCAGCCACAUGAAUGUGACGUGUAUCUAGACCCUAUUUUAUAUUUUCACUACAAAUACACUGUAAUAGAGAUGGUAUUCAUUUGCAUAUUUUAGAAAAUAUUUGUUAAUGGGAUCAUCCUUUUAUAAUGUACAAUUUUUAGUCA
rnacentral:lncRNA from 1 species